CACACACACACACACACACACACACACACACGCACGCACGCACACACACACACACACACACACACACACACACACACACACACACACACACACACACACACACACACACACACACACACACACACACAAGCGCGCCCGCGCGCGGCUCUGCUCGCAAAAACCGGGGAAAUAUCGCGUUGCCUCAACAGCCAAUCAAAUCCGUCCGUGCUCAUCCAAUCAGUGGAAAAUACCGGGAAAUUCAAAAUCCAAGUCCUCCACUAAGGCGCGCGGAUCGUCAGAAAAAAGCGAAAAUAACAGAGUUAACGCGGAUAAUGCUGAUAUAUUUUAAAGUACAGCAUACGAUGGUUUGUUUAAUUCACUGCUUUAAAAACGGUAAAGGAAACAGACGACUAAUUAAUUGGUUUUGUAAGUAAGGACUGCUGUACAGAGAUCCGCCCUGCUCCUGCUCCUGCUGCUGCUGCUGCUGUGGGAGGAAGAUGAAGCUUCAGCACACUGCAGAUCAGACGGGCUUAAACGGUGUUGGACAAGUGGGAGGUGUAUUGUCUCCAAUGAUAAGAUAGCUUCUUCAAGCAGGGAUGCUGAACUUUUAUUCAUGCCUCAUGAAUUCAUGAGCUUUUUUUUGUUUGUUUUUGCUGUAGGGAAAUAGAGGUUCAUUGGAAAUGUUUUAUUUUAUCAUGAUAAUUUUAUUGUUAAAACAUUGGAUAAACAUUUCUAUUGUGUUCUGUAUGUUUGUGAUUGUGUACUUUCAUAAAGUGAUCUAUUAGGUAGUGACUGUUAAAUUACUAUUUAGGAUACUAUAAUCCAACGCAGAUCUGUCAGAGUAAGUGUUACACUUUAAAAUAAGUGGACAGUUCCUGUGUAGUUAUUGUGUAAGUACAUUGCUGUUACAUAUGAUAUAUGCGUACCAAACCUAAAUACAUUUAUUCGAAAAUAAGUAUUUUAAAUGUUACACUUUAAAAUAAGUGGACAGUUCCUGUGUAGUUAUUGUGUAAGUACUGUGUAAGUACAUUGCUGUUACAUAUGAAAUAUGUGUACCAAAGUUAAAAAUAUAUAUCCCACAGUAAGUACAUUAAAUGUUACACUUUAAAAUAA